UACGUAGGGAGCAAGCGUUGUUCGGAUUUACUGGGCGUAAAGGGCGCGUAGGCGGCGCGGUAAGUCACUUGUGAAAUCUCUGAGCUUAACUCAGAACGGCCAAGUGAUACUGCAGUGCUAGAGUGCAGAAGGGGCAAUCGGAAUUCUUGGUGUAGCGGUGAAAUGCGUAGAUAUCAAGAGGAACACCUGAGGUGAAGACGGGGUUGCUGGGCUGACACUGACGCUGAGGCGCGAAAAGCCCAGGGGGAGCAAAACGGGG
rnacentral:rRNA from 1 species